AUGGCCGAAAUGGCCAUGAAGCUGAAAGAUGUAACCGACCGCUAUGAGGUUCUUGAAAAAGAACGCCGAGCGGAACAAGAAGACCUGAAGAAGGCCACCGCCGAAGCCAAGGAUGCCCGUUCUGCAAUGAGGGCUAUAAAGGAGGAGCCGCGUCAGGCCGGAGACAUUGCGGCUGGCAAGCCCUUUCUGCUGCGCAGGAAGUUCACGGAUCCGAAGUAUGCUCAGCUUGGCCAGUUGUGGGGUCUAGAGGAUCCUUAUAUGGAUUUAGCGGCGAGUGCUGCAGAUGCCGUUGUGCACUUCCGAAGUCAAAAGGAUCACGAGACGGAAGAGCUUUUUUGGUCUCAAUUCCACAGUCCGGAGCGUUCACUUCCGUUGACCUAUCGGUUGGCUAAGUGGGCUGAGCUGAAUAGAUUGUCCAGACUUGCCAUGACGGAUGUAGUGGCUCAUAUCUGGCCGGAUAGGCCCAAGCCGAAGAGUUAUUUUGGCUUAUUGCAACAAUUCCUUGGGGCGGUGCCGCAUAUCAAGGCGAUGAAGCGGUCGGCCUGCAUAGAGGGUGCAUAG
rnacentral:rRNA from 1 species